UGACUCGCAGUACAAUUAGAAAACGUAAAUACAAGUUUAAAGAAAAUCAGUACACAUGCAAUGAUAAACAAAAAAAUAGUUUACCUUCAUCGCCAAUUGCAAGUUGUUCAAGUGCAAAAAAGUUAUUUUCGAAAACGAAAACAACUCAAAAUAUUGAGUGUAACAAUGAAGAUUACAAGAACAAUUAUAACUUUAUUAUGAACUUUUCUAUAUUAAAAAGAAUAUUUAAGAAAUUGGAUAGUAUCAUUUAAUCGUUGCAUGAAUAUGC